AGCCUUGGCACACCUCCGUGUGCGUUUCUAGAUUUGCAUUCUAGCGUGAAUCACUACAAGAC
rnacentral:tRNA from 1 species